UACAGAGGGCGCGAGCGUUGUCCGGAAUCACUGGGCGUAAAGGGCGCGUAGGUGGCCACCAUAAGGCCGCGGUGAAAGUUCGGGGCUCAACCCCGGAUCGGCCGCGGCGACUGUGGGGCUCGGGUACUGUAGAGGCAGAUGGAAUUCCGGGUGUAGCGGUGGAAUGCGUAGAGAUCCGGAAGAACACCGGUGGCGAAGGCGGCCUGCUGGGCAGUAGCUGACACUGAGGCGCGACAGCGUGGGGAGCAAACAGG
rnacentral:rRNA from 1 species